AUGAGAUGAGGCUGGAGAAUUAGACAGAGAUCAGUUUGUGUAGGACCUUUAAGGCCAUGGUGGAACUUGGCCAAAGAUAAUGAGAUGUAAUAAGAUGAGUAUGAGAUAUUCCAAAGGGUUGCAAGGAAAGGAGUGAAUUGGUGUUGAGGGAAGAAGAGCAGAGGAGUGGUUGAGGAUUCUUUCAUAAUGGGUGACUGAGAAGAUGCUGUUGCCAUCAUAGUUGGCAAAUACAGAAGAAGGGGCAAUCUGGGGCUGUGGGGGCUAAUAGGCCUGUGCAAUCCAAUUGCUGCCACAACAGGUUUUGAGUCUCCGCCGAGAGUCACCACGGUUUCCUGCUUCAACAGUGCUUGGACGGAACCCGGCACUCGUCCACCACCCGGGCCGGCCGUUCAGAGCCAGCCCUCCGCCAUCUCUUCGUCGCGCCCUCCUACCGCUCCAAGGCCCCCGCCGCCGCUCGCCGCC
rnacentral:lncRNA from 1 species